rnacentral:rRNA from 1 species
GACGAACGCUGGCGGCGUGCUUAACACAUGCAAGUCGAACGGAAAGGCCCUGCUUUUGUGGGGUGCUCGAUUGGCGAACGGGUGAGUAACACGUGAGUAACCUGCCCUUGACUUUGGGAUAACUUCAGGAAACUGGGGCUAAUACCGGAUAGGAGCUCCUGCUGCAUGGUGUGGGUUGGAAAGUUUCGGCGGUUGGGGAUGGACUCGCGGCUUAUCAGCUUGUUGGUGGGGUAGUGGCUUACCAAAGCUUCGACGGGUAGCCGGCCUGAGAGGGUGACCGGCCACCUUGGGACUGAGAGACGGACCAGACUCCUACGGGAGGCAGCAGUGGGGAAUAUUGCACAAUGGGCGGAAGCCUGAUGCAGCAACGCCGCGUGCGGGAUGACGGCCUUCGGGUUGUAAACCGCUUUCGCAUGUGACGAAGCGUGAGUGACGGUAAUGGGUAAAGAAGCACCGGCUAACUACGUG